UACGUAGGGUGCGAGCGUUGGCCGGAAUUAUUGGGCGUAAAGGGCUCGUAGGCGGUUUGUCGCGUCGGGAGUGAAAACCCAGGGCUUAACUCUGGGCUUGCUUUCGAUACGGGCAGACUAGAGGUAUGCAGGGGAGAACGGAAUUCCUGGUGUAGCGGUGAAAUGCGCAGAUAUCAGGAGGAACACCGGUGGCGAAGGCGGUUCUCUGGGCAUUACCUGACGCUGAGGAGCGAAAGUGUGGGGAGCGAACAGG
rnacentral:rRNA from 1 species